CCUUUCAAUGCAGCAGAAUUGCGAUGGUUGAGUAUCUCGCCUUUCGAUUCUGCCUGUAUUCUACCCUUGUUUCUCUUACACUAUUAUUUCCUCGGUAGGCUUGCCUACCGGGUGAAACCAUUUAUAACCUAUUUAAUUUUCAAUCAGCGUCUGAAAAAAUUAAUAAUUA
rnacentral:misc_RNA from 1 species